GGCAGUGUGAACAGGUGCGUUGUUAAAACUUGAAGGGCAAAGUCUACAUUGCUUCCUGACUACAUAACAUUCCAGAAUAAUGAGGACCAUGUUUGUGGUGCUGGCUCUUGCCCUGCUGGUGAUGGGUGGUUCUGCCCUACAAUGUAACAACUGUGUACCCUUGAUCCCUGGUGGCAAAUGUCCAGACACCAUUGAAACAUGUGGAUCUGCUAAAGAUACCUGUGUCACUUUUAAUCUGGCCAACAUACUUGUCUACAAGAAAUGCAUCAAAAUGUCUGACUGCCUUCUGCUUCAGGGCCUUCCUCUGGUCAAUGUUGUAUGCUGUCAGACAGACCUCUGCAAUUAGUGACUCAUGCUUGGAAGUAACAUUCAGGGAAAAAUAAAGAUCUACUCAUGAUUCCAA